rnacentral:rRNA from 1 species
CCAGACUCCUACGGGGGCAGCAGUGGGGAAUAUUGGGCAAUGGGCGCAAGCCUGACCCAGCAACGCCGCGUGAAGGAAGAAGGCUUUCGGGUUGUAAACUUCUUUUGUCAGGGACGAAGCAAGUGACGGUACCUGACGAAUAAGCCACGGCUAACUACGUGCCAGCAGCCGCGGUAAUACGUAGGUGGCAAGCGUUAUCCGGGUUUAUUGGGUGUAAAGGGCGUGUAGGCGGGAAUGCAAGUCAGAUGUGAAAUCCGGGGGCUCAACCCCCGAACUGCAUUUGAAACUGUUGGUCUUGAGUGUCGGAGAGGCAGGCGGAAUUCCUAGUGUAGCGGUGAAAUGCGUAGAUAUUAGGAGGAACACCAGUGGCGAAGGCGGCCUGCUGGACGACAACUGACGGUGAGGCGCGAAAGCGUGGGGAGCAAACAGGAUUAGAUACCCUAGUACA